rnacentral:rRNA from 1 species
GUGUAUAUUAAGUUGUUGCGGUUAAAAGCUCGUAGUUGGAUUUUGGGCGCAGGCGGCCGGUCCGUCGCAAGGCGUGUACUGGCCGUCCUGGCCUCACCUCCGGUUCUCCGCCGGUGCCCUUGACUGAGUGUCGGCGGCGGCCGGAACGUUUACUUUGAAAAAAUUAGAGUGUUCAAAGCAGGCGAUUCGCCUGAAUAAUGGUGCAUGGAAUAAUGGAAUAGGACCUCGGUUCUAUUUUGUUGGUUUUCGGAGCGCGAGGUAAUGAUUAAGAGGGACAGACGGGGGCAUUCGUACUGUGCCGUUAGAGGUGAAAUUCUUGGAUCGGCGCAAGACGAACGACUGCGAAAGCAUUUGCCAAGAAUGUUUUCUUUAAUCAAGAGCGAAAGUCAGAGGUUCGAAGACGAUCAGAUACCGUCCUAGUUCUGACUAUAAACGAUGCCAACUAGCGAUCGGGGGGCGUUAGUUUUACGACCUCUCCGGCAGCUUGCGGGAAACCAAAGUCUUUGGGUUCCGGGGGAAGUAUGGUUGCAAAGCUGAAACUUAAAGGAAUUGACGGAAGGGCACCACCAGGAGUGGAGCCUGCGGCUUAAUUUGACUCAACACGGGAAAUCUCACCCGGCCCGGACACAGUGAGGAUUGACAGAUUGAGAGCUCUUUCUUGAUUCUGUGGGUGGUGGUGCAUGGCCGUUCUUAGUUGGUGGAGCGAUUUGUCUGGUUAAUUCCGAUAACGAACGAGACUCUGGCUUGCUAACUAGUUACGCGACCCAAUCGGUCGGCGUCUAACUUCUUAGAGGGACUAGUGGCGUUUAGCCACACGAGAUUGAGCAAUAACAGGUCUGUGAUGCCCUUAGAUGUUCGGGGCCGCACGCGCGCUACACUGACCGGAUCAGCAUGUGCUCGCCUUGGCCGACAGGUCUGGGUAACCCGCUGAACCCCGGUCGUGCUAGGGAUAGGGAAUUGCAAUUAUUUCCCUUGAACGAGGAAUUCCCAGUAAGCGCGAGUCAUUA